rnacentral:rRNA from 1 species
AACGAACGCUGGCGGCAGGCUUAACACAUGCAAGUCGAACGCCCCGCCAGGGGAGUGGCAGCCGGGUGAGUAACACGUGGGAACAUGCCCAAAGGUACGGAAUAUUCUCGGGAAAUUGAGAGCAAUACCGUAUGUGCCCGAAAGGGGAAAGAUUUAUCGCCUUUGGAUUGGCCCGCGUCGGAUUAGCUAGUUGGUGGGGUAAAAGCCUACCAAGGCGACGAUCCGUAGCUGGUCUGAGAGGACGACCAGCCACACUGGGACUGAGACACGGCCCAGACUCCUACGGGAGGCAGCAGUGGGGAAUCUUGGACAAUGGGCGCAAGCCUGAUCCAGCCAUGCCGCGUGGAUGAUGAAGGCCCUAGGGUUGUAAAAUCCUUUCGUUGGGGACGAUAAUGACGGUACCCAAAGAAGAAGCGCCGGCUAACUUCGUG